rnacentral:rRNA from 1 species
GGCUCAGAUUGAACGCUGGCGGCAUGCUUUACACAUGCAAGUCGAACGGCAGCACGAAAGAGCUUGCUCUUUUGGUGGCGAGUGGCGAACGGGUGAGUAAUACAUUGGAACGUACCGAGUAAUGGGGGAUAACUGUCCGAAAGGAUGGCUAAUACCGCAUACGCUCUGAGGAGGAAAGCGGGGGACCUUCGGGCCUCGCGUUAUUCGAGCGGCCAAUGUCUGAUUAGCUAGUUGGUGGGGUAAAAGCCUACCAAGGCGACGAUCAGUAGUGGGUCUGAGAGGAUGAUCCGCCACACUGGGACUGAGACACGGCCCAGACUCCUACGGGAGGCAGCAGUGGGGAAUUUUGGACAAUGGGCGAAAGCCUGAUCCAGCCAUGCCGCGUGUCUGAAGAAGGCCUUCGGGUUGUAAAGGACUUUUGUCAGGGAAGAAAGGGUUUGGGUUAAUACCCUAAGCUUAUGAC